UACGUAGGGUGCGAGCAUUGUCCGGAAUUAUUGGGCGUAAAGGGCUCGUAGGCGGUCUGUUGCGUCAGGAGUGAAAACUCGGGGCUUAACCCCGAGCCUGCUUCUGAUACGGGCAGACUAGAGGUAUGCAGGGGAGAACGGAAUUCCUGGUGUAGCGGUGAAAUGCGUAGAUAUCGGGAGGAAUACCAGUGGCGAAAGCGGCACCCUGGCAUUAGCCUGACGCUCAUGUGCGAAGGCGUGGGGAGCGAACGGG
rnacentral:rRNA from 1 species